CCUCCUGCAGAAAGCAACAUAGUGUCCUAGGGCGUUCUUGGAUGGCCCAGGGAGAAAAGCCACAAUGCCUCUCAGUGUGAACUGCUCUUUGCUCAGGGUGAUGUUGGCAGGGAAUUCGCUUAGUGGAAAACUUUGUUCUGCGGCUGUUUCAAUGUACAGUGCUGGACCACAAGCAUAACCGUGUGUGAUCAAACCAGUGCACAUAAUUUUCAGUGAUGAAGGGUUUUUUGUUUUUAGGCUGUCUGGACAGUUUUCAGGAGAUUUAAGUGGCUGAAGACAUUUUGAAGGGUUAAGCCGCAGACCAUCUUCAAGUGCAGCCUGAAGUGCUCUCAUUCCUUCUGUAUGUAAAAUAUCAGCAUUCACUGGAAGCAGAGGAAUUUCCCUUGUGCGUACCAGACUGCGGCUGCAGUGUGGAGAGGAACACUGACUUUUGCUUGUGGCACUUGGAGUAUUUUUCAUUGUUGAGGUGAUGAUAAAUGGUUUGGACGAGACGAAACAUUUCAUUGCUGUUUUGUUGUUCAGUUACAUACUGACUGAAAUUGCAACUGUCACAGAAGGCAGAGCAGAGACACUGGCAAAAGGAGUCAAAGGCACAGGAGUUGAGUCUGUAUGUCGCCACUCUGGACAAGGUAGAAGGAAAGAAGAUUUCCUUUUUUUCAGUGGCAGACCAAGCCCUCUCCAGUUUUCAACAGGUGUCUCCUGUGUCAGUGGGUCUUUUGUUGUUGAUUUGAUUCGUUUGUUGUGUGGAAUCAAUGGGUUUUGAUCUUCCAUGGUUGAAGUUUCUCUACAAUCAGUCAAUUCUGAUGUACUUUUCAGGGUGUUGGCAGAUUGUGCUGCAGAGGAAAGUCGCAUGUUACCUUCAAUGAAUGAAAGGUGUUGGCUGAUGAAACGGUCCAGACGAAUUGGCAGGUUUUCAUGUUUGAAGAGACCAUGCUUUUAAAUUUUUGAAUUCAGCCUCAACGUGGGAAGAGCUGGCAGUGAUGUUGUCACAUUUGAAAAAAGGAGCCAUUACACCUGUCCAGAGAGGUAGAUAUUGGUCACCCACUUUUUGACAUCAGAUGUACAUUCUUGGAUGGAGUGUGAUGGAUCUGGAGUGUCGAGACUUUCAUCAUUCCAUAGCAACAACUGCAAUCGAGUGAAUGAGCUGUCUGGCAUCUUGGAUUGUCACAGACUGAAGAACUUGUCCCAUGGCUCUCAGCUGCUCCUGCCCUGCGCCAUUCAGAGAGCCAGUUUGCUAUGGCAUUGAUGUCAUGCCGCUCAGACAACAUUUGCACCACUGGGAUGUGAACAGACUCCUCUCCAUGUGAGGACAGAACUCCUUUGUAUAGGAAGAUAUGUCCUGAUGUUUCUGUUGGUCUGGACAUUAGACCAGGUGCCACGCUUCAGGAUGGUAUACAUUCUUUCGUUGGAUGGUGCAGAUCUGUUUUUAUAUACAGCCUCCUCUUGCCAGAUUUCUCUCCACUCUUGGUAAGGAAUGGUGAGUUCAAAGUUAAUGUCACAUGUUUCUUGUGUGGAAUGUGAAUCAUCAUUUGGACUGUCUCUGCCUCCAUCUGCUUCUAUACCUAGGAUUUGCCAACUGUUGUGCCGAUUUAAUUUGACAAAUGUGUACAAACUUUUUGGUGACAUUUUUCCUCCAAGCUGUUGACUAAGCUCUGUCCACACCUUUUCAGAUGGGCAGGAAAUACUCUGUCCUCUCACAAUAGCUUCCCUGGCAGCAAGGAUGAGCUUUAUGACCUCAUCCUUGUCACAAACUGGCCCCCUCGGCAUCUAAGCAAAAAAUUCAUAUUCACAUUACUGCAGUCAUGAUUAUUUUCUUUUGUUUUUCAAAAUUGAAAACCUCUGAAAUAUACUCGAGAAAGAUGGAUGAUCACAAGCCAUCAAACCAAGCUGAACUGCCUGAAUUUUUGCACCAGGAGUGCCAUAAAGUUAUCCAAAAGCAGUGUGUAAGACUGGUGGAGGAGAACAUGCCAAGAUGCAUGAAAACUGUAAUUACUUACUGUAAUAACUUGAUUUCUUAACUUUUUUUUUUUUUUUUGCUUUAUUUGAGGUCUGAAAGCUCUGUAUCUUGUUUUUUUUUUAGCCAUUUCUCGUUUUCUGCAAAUAAAUGCUCUAAAUGAUAAAAUAUUUUUAUUUGGAAUUUGAGAGAAAUGUUGAUUGUAGUUUAUAGAAUAAAACAACAAUGUUCAUUUUACUCAAACAUAGAGAAUACUCAAAACAUAGAGAAUAUUGAGAAAAUGAGAAAUGACUGAAACAACAAAAAAGAUUCAGAGCUUUCAGACCUCAAAUAAUGCAAAACAAAAACAAGAAAUCAAUAUUUGGUUGAAUAACCCUGGAUUUUAAUCACAGUUUUCAUGCAUCUUGGCAUGUUCUCCUCCACCAGUCUUACACACUGCUUUUGGAUAACUUUAUGCCUUUACUCCUGGUGCAAUUUGAGCAGUUCAGCUUGGUGGUUUGAUGGCUUGUGAUCAUCCACAUUACUCUUGAUUAUAUUCCAGAGGUUUUCAAGUCAAAGAAACUCAUAAUUUUUAAGUGGUCUCUUUUAUUUUUUUCCCAGAGCUCUCUCUCUCUCUCUCUGUCUAUAUAUAUAUAU